UCCGGUUUAGACCGGCGGUCUCCCUAGAGAUUUCAACUAAGGACAAGGGUUGCGCUCGUUGCGGGACUUAACCCAACACCUCACGACACGAGCUGACGACAGCCAUGCACCACCUGUGCACAGGCCCCGAAAGGCUGCCGAAUUUCUCCGACAUUCCUGUGCAUGUCAAGCCUUGGUAAGGUUCUUCGCGUCGCGUCGAAUUAAACCACAUGCUCCGCUGCUUGUGCGGGCCCCCGUCAAUUCCUUUGAGUUUUAGCCUUGCGGCCGUACUCCCCAGGCGGGGUGCUUAAUGCGUUAGCUUCGGCACGGGGGGAGUCGACACCCCCCACACCUAGCACCCAUCGUUUACGGCGUGGACUAC
rnacentral:misc_RNA from 1 species